UGCAAUUUUUGGAACCAA
rnacentral:miRNA from 1 species